CAUUGAAAUGAAACCCAAUGGAAAGAUGGGAGUAUAUUGAGGGCAGAUAAAAGAGAAAUGAAUUUGAAAGGAAAAUAUUUUUCUAUGAUUAAAUUGGAUUUUAAUGGAAGAUUUUCAAAACAAUAAAAAAAAGUUUAAAAUGACUGAAUUUCUAACAAUUUCCAUUGGGGGAACACUGAAUUUCAGUUUGGUUUAUGAGUGAUAAAAAAAAUAAAUCCCUUGGAUUUCUAGGCUUAAUUCCUAUAAGCAAGGCAACUAGAGAGCCUUAUUCAGUUUUGCUGUUGAAGAAAUUAGAAAUGUGGCCAGAAACUUAUAAAUUACAUUUUUCUUUUUCUGUUAAUUGGUUGGGACUUUAAACAUGACGGACUACAUUAACUUUUUCUGCUCUCCGCUAAAAGCUUUCUAUUUCUAUGUACACUACAAAUGUAUCUGUCAUUCAUUGGCAUUAUGCAUUUGUGUGUUGAAACCUUGAGAUUUCUGUUCCUUGAAGUUUCCUGACUGUUUAAUCAGACAGGAAAGGAAUACAAGCCGUUUAAAUUCAUGUAUACAAUAUGAACCCCUUGUCUCCUGUUUUUCAAAUGUUUCCUGUACUUGAUGACACGUGGCUGGAAAAGUAAUAUUUAAUACUGUGAUAAAAUAGAUUGCCUUGUUUUAAACAAACCAGAUUAAAAUGUGAUAAGAUUCAAAGUAAGGAGGAUCAAAAUGUUGGCAAACCACAAAAUGAAUUGCUCAAUGAAUUUUGAAAGACUGAACCAUUCUUGUCUCCCAGCAUACCAAAGUUGAUUCCCAUGAACUUUACUGCAAUAAUUCCUUAAUUACAAAAGUCUUUAGAACAGACUUCAAUAACAUGGCAGACAUUAAUGAAGGGAAUUCAGAUUAAAUUUUGAAAAAAAUGCAAGUUUCAACAAAAAUGCAACACGAAUGGAACUCUAAAAAUAAAAACCUGAUUCUGCUACAAGCUCACUGUCAAAGUGCUUGCCUCCUUGGCAAGAGAUUUAGGGAUGACAAAAUUUAGCCUUGCUGGGGGUUUUAAAUUGGUUU